rnacentral:tmRNA from 1 species
GGGGGUGAAAUGGUUUCGACGGGGAGGUUGAAGCCGGGUAAGCGAGCCGUAGUCGCCAAGUCUACGUUAAAAGUGGCCGUUUAAAUAUAAACGCUAAAAAUAAUAAUAAUUUCGCAAUGGCUGCGUAGUUCAGCCCGCGUGCCUUUAGAGAUUUUCCUGUAGGUCUCUUUAAGGUAUCAAAAUAUGCAGGAAACUUUCCGGCGAUUGCUAGGUAGCCAUGGAUCGUAUUACUAGUUAGUCUGUUCUUAUCUUUGAUCUUCAGGAGUGGGCAGAUGAAAUAAACUGAGGAUCUUCGCUCGGAGAAAGCCCCGUGAAUAUCUUUUCGGACGCGAGUUCAACUCUCGCCACUUCCACCA